rnacentral:rRNA from 1 species
GAUGAACGCUGGCGGCGUGCCUAAUACAUGCAAGUCGAGCGAACGGACGAGAAGCUUGCUUCUCUGAUGUUAGCGGCGGACGGGUGAGUAACACGUGGAUAACCUACCUAUAAGACUGGGAUAACUUCGGGAAACCGGAGCUAAUACCGGAUAAUAUUUUGAACCGCAUGAUUCAAAAGUGAAAGACGGUCUUGCUGUCACUUAUAGAUGGAUCCGCGCUGCAUUAGCUAGUUGGUAAGGUAACGGCUUACCAAGGCUACGAUGCAUAGCCGACCUGAGAGGGUGAUCGGCCACACUGGAACUGAGACACGGUCCAGACUCCUACGGGAGGCAGCAGUAGGGAAUCUUCCGCAAUGGGCGAAAGCCUGACGGGGCAACGCCGCGUGAGUGAUGAAGGUCUUCGGAUCGUAAAACUCUGUUAUUAGGGAAGAACAUAUGUGUAAGUAACUGUGCACAUCUUGACGGUACCUAAUCAGAAAGCCACGGCUAACUACGUG